UGCCAGCCGCCGCGGUAAUACGGAGGGUGCAAGCGUUAAUCGGAAUUACUGGGCGUAAAGCGCGCGUAGGUGGUUUGUUAAGUGGGAUGUGAAAGCCCCGGGCUCAACCUGGGAAUCGCAUCCCAAACUGACAGACUAGAGUACAAUAGAGGGGUGUGGAAUUUCCUGUGUGGCGGUGAAAUGCGUAGAUAUAGGAAGGAACAUCAGUGGCGAAGGCGACACCCUGGACUGAUACUGACACUGAGGGGCGAAAGCGUGGGGAGCAACCAGGAUUAGAUA
rnacentral:rRNA from 1 species